CCCUGUAUAAAGCCUCGUUAUUGUGUUACUUUUUAUUACUUUUUACUUUAGUUAAUUUGGUCAAUAUUUUCUUAACUCUUCUUGAACUGCACUGUUGGUUAAGGGCUUGUCAGUAAGCAUUUCACGGUAAGGUCUACACUGUUGGUUAAGGGCUUGUAAGUAAGCAUUUCACGGUAAGGUCUACACUGUUGGUUAAGGGCUUGUAAGUAAGCAUUUCACGGUAAGGUCUACACUGUUGGUUAAGGGCUUGUAAGUAAGCAUUUCACGGUAAGGUCUACACUGUUGGUUAAGGGCUUGUAAGUAAGCAUUUCACGGUAAGGUCUACACUGUUGGUUAAGGGCUUGUAAGUAAGCAUUUCACGGUAAGGUCUACACUGUUGGUUAAGGGCUUGUAAGUAAGCAUUUCACGGUAAGGUCUACACUGUUGGUUAAGGGCUUGUAAGUAAGCAUUUCACGGUAAGGUCUACACUGUUGGUUAAGGGCUUGUAAGUAAGCAUUUCACGGUAAGGUCUACACUGUUGGUUAAGGGCUUGUCAGUAAGCAUUUCACGGUAAGGUCUACACUGUUCUAUUAGACGCGUGUGACAAAUAAAGUUUCAUUUGAUUUU